AACAAUAGCCAGCUACAAAUGAUGGGGCUUAUGAAUGACACCAGGGUGCUGUGUUGGAUAGCUAUUAUUCUCAUGUCCAUCACUUCCUUGAACUGCCAUGCUGCUGCCAUGAGCACACAUACAAUGGACUUUGGACCUAUUCUUGCGUGUGUAAAGACGGAAACAAAAUGUUCGGUUGUUGGGUGCACGAAGAUAUGUUCCGACCUUGGCUGGAAUACCCACAGAUGCUAUUGUGCCGAUGCUGGCAGUUGCUGCCACUAUGCGGAUGGAAGGCCAUUAAAUUGAUAGUAUAAUGUAUUGUCAUGAGCUCUUCUUUUACAAGGGUGAAUGUCAAUCAUCUAUGCCACUACCGAUCAUAGAUUUAAUAAACUUCUAAAGUAUGCAGUAUGAUUAUAUUUA